GUGGAGGCGUCGUCAUCAGGCUCGGAGGAGGUGCGGCGGCUGACGGCGCGCGCGCUCGACCUGGAGCGAGAGCUCAACCUGCUCCGACAGCAAAACCAGGAGGUGUCGCUGGCGCCGGCGACGUUCGUGCGGUCGCUGGCGAGGAAGCUCGGCGCUGAUGCGGACCUCGAGCCUGCCACCAAGGCUAAGCCCCAGAGUGCCGAGGAGGGCGAGCUGCUGCGCUCCAUCAACCAGGCGCUGCACGACGAGAUCGCCGCGCUCAAGGGCAAGCUGCGCGACACCGACACGCAACUGCAGGAGGCUUUGAAAUCUCAAGCGGCGAUAACGGGCAGCCCGGUGCCUACCGGCUCCAGCGGGGACGUCAAGACAGAUGCAGGUAC